UAUUGGUGAGAAUCCAAUGCUCCGAAAACCCAAUGGUUCCUCCGCAAGGUUCAUCCACAGACGGUGAGUCAGGGCCUAAGAUCAAGCCGGAAGGCGUAAUCGAUAGACAACAAGUGAAUAUUCCUAUACUAUCCCUUUUUAGUCCUGAUGGACAAAAGAGGCUAGGUUAGCCAAAAAAUGGUUAUCGAUUUAAGGAUGCAAAGUGCCCCUAUUUUUUUUAGGGUAAGAAGGAAUGGAGAAAAUGCCCCGAGCCAAUGUUCAAGUACCAUGCACUACAACAUUGAAGAAACCAAUGCUAUACUCCCAGGAAAAGCUCGAACGACCUUCAAAAAAAGGUACCUGUGGCACAAUAAUGCUCAUUGAG
rnacentral:ncRNA from 1 species